AUUGAACGCUGGCGGCAGGCUUAACACAUGCAAGUCGAGCGGAGAUGAGGUGCUUGCACCUUAUCUUAGCGGCGGACGGGUGAGUAAUGCUUAGGAAUCUGCCUAUUAGUGGGGGACAACAUUCCGAAAGGAAUGCUAAUACCGCAUAUGUCCUACGGGAGAAAGCAGGGGAUCUUCGGACCUUGCGCUAAUAGAUGAGCCUAAGUCGGAUUAACUAGUUGGUGGGGUAAAGGCCUACCAAGGCGACGAUCUGUAGGGGGUCUGAGAGGAUGAUCCGCCACACUGGGACUGAGACACGGCCCAGACUCCUACGGGAGGCAGCAGUGGGGAAUAUUGGACAAUGGGGGGAACCCUGAUCCAGCCAUGCCGCGUGUGUGAAGAAGGCCUUAUGGUUGUAAAGCACUUUAAGCGAGGAGGAGGCUACUGAGACUAAUACUCUUGGAUAGUGGACGUUACUCGCAGAAUAAGCACCGGCUAACUCUGUGCCAGCCGCCGCAGUAACAC
rnacentral:rRNA from 1 species